rnacentral:rRNA from 1 species
AAUCAACGCUGGCGGCGUGCCUCAGACAUGCAAGUCGAACGAUUAAAGCUCUCUUCGGAGAGUGUAUAGAGUGGCGCACGGGUGAGUAACACGUAAGCAAUCUACCUUUGAGUGGGGAAUAACAAUCGGAAAUGAUUGCUAAUACCGCAUAAUGCAGCGGCAUCGCAAGAUGACAGUUGUUAAAGGAGCAAUCCGCUUAAAGAGGAGCUUGCGGCAGAUUAGCUAGUUGGUAAGGUAAUGGCUUACCAAGGCUACGAUCUGUAACCGGUCUAAGAGGACGGUCGGUCACACUGACACUGAAUAACGGGUCAGACUCCUACGGGAGGCAGCAGUCGGGAAUUUUGGGUCAAUGGCGAAAGCCUGACCCAGCAACGCCGCGUGAAGGAUGAAGUAUUUCGGUAUGUAAACUUCGAAAGAAUGGGAAGAAUCAAUGACGGUACCAUUUAUAAGGUCCGGCUAACUACGUGCCAGCCGCCGCCGUAAC